CACGUAGGGGGCAAGCGUUGUCCGGAAUCAUUGGGCGUAAAGAGCUCGUAGGCGGCUCAGUAAGUCGGGUGUGAAACCUCCAGGCUCAACCUGGAGACGCCACCCGAUACUGCUGUGGCUAGAGUCCAGUAGGGGAGUGUGGAAUUCCCGGUGUAGCGGUGAAAUGCGCAGAUAUCAGGAGGAACACCGAUUGCGAAGGCAGCUCGCUGGGACGUUACUGACGCUGAGACGCGAAAGCGUGGGGAGCAAACAGG
rnacentral:rRNA from 1 species